rnacentral:rRNA from 1 species
AUGUUCUCCUCGCAGUCUUUGAGCCGUGUCAAUAACAUACGCACGGCCCUGCUCAGCGCGCAGAAGGGCACCCAAUCGGUCGCCACCUUCUUCGCCCAUAUGCGUGGCCUCGCCGAUGAGCUGGCGGCCGCCGGCAAGCCCCUGCAGGACGACGAACUCAUCAGCUACAUCCUCCACGGCCUCGACAUGGAGUACCAGCCCUUGGUCUCUGCCCUCGACGUCCGCACCACCCCGGUCUCUCUCGAUGAACUCUUCUCUAUGUUGAGUAACUUCGAUCAACGGGUGGCCAUGUACCAAGGGUCGGGCGGCUUCAAAUCUUCCGCCAACGCCGCGACCCGCGGCCGUGGCGGCUCCUCCUAUCGCUAUCGUGGCCCUCCUCGCUCCAAGGGCAGGCCCGGCGGCAGCGGUGGCAGCAACACCAGCGGCUCCAACUCCCGUGGCGGGCGCCCCUCAUCCAACAACACUAGGGGUCGCCGCGGCGGGAACAACAAGUCUCGCCCGGAUGCCGUGCGUUGCCAGAUUUGUGGUAAACUCGGGCACUCGGCUAAUAAUACUGGUACCAUUUUGAAGAAGAUGAGGCUUCGUCCGAAGAUGAGGAAAAGGUUGCUGCCGCUCCUGCGUCUUCACCACCCGCCGCAGAAGAUCCAGCCCGCUGUUGCUGCUGUUUCAGGAUCUGCUGCGGGAUCGUCUAUGGCACAAACUGGUACCUCGACAGCGGUGCCACCAACCAUCUCACGGGUGAACUUGAGAAAGUAA